rnacentral:lncRNA from 1 species
UAGUUAUUGUUGCAAACUCCAUUAGAAAUUUGAAUUGAUAUCAGUUUUGGAAAAAGGGAAACGGGGAUGUGAAAAAAAGGGGGGGUUUAAAUUUUUCUCAUUUCAGAUUUCAUAAAUAAAAAGAAAAUUUCUUCAAACAUUUUUUUGAGAGGAUUAAUAUUCAACAGCAUAGUGAAUUGCUCAAAGGCAAAAAAAAAAACUUUUAAGUUCAUUAGACCACAUUCAUUCUGUGUCAGAAACCUAUGCUGUGUCAACUAUUUAAUUUUAGAUUUAAAAAGUUUGAAGAAAUCUUUAAUUGAUUUGUAAAAUCUUGACAUUUGUUUUGUGUAAAAAAAAACAUAUAAUGUCAAAAAUUUGAUCACAAUCCAAAUUCAGAGCUGUAUCACGCUUGAAUGUUUUGUCCAUACUUGCCCCAACUGUUCAGGGUUCGACCUCUGCGGUCGUAUAAAGCUGCGCCCUGCGGAGCACCUGGUUUUUUCUGUCAACAUGUAA